ensembl:lncRNA
AAAAUCGAGUGUAUAUACAUACUGGUCUUACUUUGUUCAUUUUUAUCAUUAAAAUACGAAACUUGCUCGGAUUUACUACUUACAUAUGUGUAAUUUUAAUGCCCCCUUAAUAAUUUUCGAAAAUUACAAAGGUAUUCACGUACGUACAUAUAUAUUAACAUAUAUAUUAACAUACAUAUUAACAUAUAUAUUAACAUAUGUAUAUGUUUCCAUGUAAACACACGCGCAAAUGCACGAACAAACACCUACAAUCUGUAGACAUAUACGUCGACGCUUAAGUUGUAUAAAUGUUUUUAUACAUAUUUGUCGCUUUUAAUCUUUUUUUUUUUUUUCUCUUCUUUUAUCUUUUUUUAAAUUAUAAUUUAUAAUUAUUUAUCUUUGUAAAUACUUACGUAAAUACGAUUAGAUUUACUUAUAGUUUGAAUGUUGUACACUUUUUUUUUCUUUGUUUUUGUGCUAGCCGAUUAGGAACUUUUUUUUUUUUUUUUUUUUUUCGUGCUAGCUAAUUAGGAACUUUUUUUUUUUUUUUUUUUUUUUUUUUUGUGCUAGCCAAUUAGGAACUUUUUUGUUUGUCUAUAUUCAAAAUGAACAGAUUAUUUGCAUUUUUAUUUGCCUUCAUUGUAUUAUUUCAUUGCUUUAUUCAAAUCUUAGCUUUAAAAAAGGUUGAGGACAGAUUAAAAUUUCUGAACAAUACGGAUGGAGCUGUUUCUUUAAGCCAUAUAAUGAAAUAUAAAGAUGAGAUAGAAUCACAGCUAAACACGUUCAAAACAAAUGAAAAAAUCUCCCAAAAAAUGGAUUUCGAUUUAAAUGAACUAAACGCUAUCGUAUCCCUUGUAAGAAAUUCACAAGAACAACAGAAACAAAGUUUUUUAACAUUUUCUAAAAUGUUAAAUCAAACAAAAAUAUCAUUAAAUAAAAUGCUUAGUGAAUACGAAAAUAGAAUAUCUCAGCUAGAAUAUAAUAUAAUGGAUAUAAAAAAAUAUGAUCCGUUCAUAGAAAAAUAUACAUACCCGAUAUCAAAAUAUUGGUUAAAAAUCGAUUUUCAUAAUUUCAAAUCUAUAUGGAAAUAUAAAAAAAACAAAAAUUAUUUUUCAAUUAUUCAAGAUAAUGAUAUAAAUAAUUUAAAAACACCCGUAACCAUAUUAUUAUUAAAACAUCACAAAAUUAUUGAUGGUUUUUUUAAUGUAGAUAUUUUACAAACACACAGUUCUACAACAGAUGUACAAAAUGUUGCUUCAUCAGGCAUAGUUUUUCAUUUUAUUAAUCAGUACAAGUAUCGAUUUAUCGAGUUAUCACAUUUUAGUACACAAGCAGCUAUAACAGUUGGUGAAAUCGAUAACGGUGUCUAUAAGAAAAUACUAUCUAGGAGCGUCGAAACCAAUGCCAACGAAUUUAAUUCUUUGACAUGCAAAUUCAAUAAUAAAAAAAUGCAUAUUUAUUUAAAUUAUAGAAAAAUCAUAGAAAUAAAAGGUGUUGAAAGUAAUAAUAAUAACUCUGUAGGAUUAUUCACAAAAAGUGGUAUAUCAGAAUUUAUAAAUAUAGUGUCAGGAAAUUUAUAUUUUAUAAAAAUAUUAAAAAAUAAAAAAAAAAAAAAAAAAAAGAAACAAAAUGCAAGGACGCAAAACAAAAUGCAAAGAAGCAAAACAAAAAUUUAUCUUCGAUUUAUAACAAACAUACAACACUUGAAUAAAUUUUUAUUAUACCACGUGUAUAUAUGUACUUACACAUGCACAUAUAUAUAUAUGCAUUUUUAUUUAGUAUGAAUAAGAGAAAUGAUUUAAAAAAAAAAAAAUAAAAUAUGAAUAUUUAUAAUUUUAUCA